CACCACUAUAUUGAUCAAGGAGCUGCUGAAGGGACACUGACUCCUGCAUAGCUCCCUCCAAGUGGGCGCUUUUUCUUUCCAUCAUGCAGAGGAAACUGCAGCCAUUGCUCUGUUUUGCUCUGUCCAAGAAGAAGCAGGAGCCGUCCACCUGAAAGCAGACUUUCUAGAAGACACUUCAAGAAAAUGAGAAAACAAGGCACACACAGGGAAGAAACACUUGCAAGACAUAUACAUAUCUGAUGAAGUAUUGGUAACUCAAAUAUGUAAGAGACUCUUAAGAAAACAAGAAACCCAAUAAAGAAAAAAAUGGGCAAAAGAUGUGAACAUGUUAUAAAAGAAGAUAUACAGAUGGCAAGUAAGUACUGGAAAAGAUGUUUCAUGAUUGGUCAUUAGGAAAAUGCAAAUUAAAAUGACAAUGAGAUAUCACUGCACACUUAGUAGAAGGGCUCAAAGGAAAAACAGUAACAACUGAUACUGUCAAAU